UCCGGCUUAACGCCGGCGGUCUCCCUAGAGUCCCCACCAUGACGUGUUGGCAACUAGGAACAGGGGUUUCGCUCGUUAUGGGACUUAACCCGACAUCUCACGACACGAGCUGACGACAGCCAUGCAGCACCUGUGGCAGGUUCCGGACUGGAUACCGUUGGGCGGCCGUUUCCGGCGCCUACUUCCUGCCGCUUUCGCACAUGUCAAGCCUGGGAUAAGGUUCUUCGCGUAGCCUCGAAUUAAGCCACAUGCUCCACCGCUUGUGUGAGCCCCCGUCAAUUCCUUUGAGUUUCAGCCUUGCGGCCAUACUCCCCAGGCGGGGUACUUAACACUUUUGCCUCGGCCGGGGGCCCAUACCGGCCCCCAGCCUGGUACCCAUCGUUUAGGGCCAGGACUAC
rnacentral:misc_RNA from 1 species